UACGGAGGGCGCAAGCGUUGUUCGGAAUCACUGGGCGUAAAGCGCGUGCAGGCGGCUUGGCAAGUCGGGUGUGAAAGCCCGGGGCCCAACCCCGGAACGGCAUCCGAAACUGCCUCGCUCGAGUCCCGGAGAGGGUGGCGGAAUUUCCGGUGUAGAGGUGAAAUUCGUAGAUAUCGGAAGGAACACCAGUGGCGAAGGCGGCCACCUGGGCGGUGACUGACGCUGAGACGCGAAAGCGUGGGGAGCAAACAGG
rnacentral:rRNA from 1 species